rnacentral:rRNA from 1 species
GGAGAAGGCUAUGUUGGCCGGGCGACGGUUGUCCCGGUUUAAGCGUGUAGGCUGGUUUUCCAGGCAAAUCCGGAAAAUCAAGGCUGAGGCGUGAUGACGAGGCACUACGGUGCUGAAGCAACAAAUGCCCUGCUUCCAGGAAAAGCCUCUAAGCAUCAGGUAACAUCAAAUCGUACCCCAAACCGACACAGGUGGUCAGGUAGAGAAUACCAAGGCGCUUGAGAGAACUCGGGUGAAGGAACUAGGCAAAAUGGUGCCGUAACUUCGGGAGAAGGCACGCUGAUAUGUAGGUGAAGUCCCUCGCGGAUGGAGCUGAAAUCAGUCGAAGAUACCAGCUGGCUGCAACUGUUUAUUAAAAACACAGCACUGUGCAAACACGAAAGUGGACGUAUACGGUGUGACGCCUGCCCGGUGCCGGAAGGUUAAUUGAUGGGGUCAGCGCAAGCGAAGCUCUUGAUCGAAGCCCCGGUAAACGGCGGCCGUAACUAUAACGGUCCUAAGGUAGCGAAAUUCCUUGUCGGGUAAGUUCCGACCUGCACGAAUGGCGUAAUGAUGGCCAGGCUGUCUCCACCCGAGACUCAGUGAAAUUGAACUCGCUGUGAAGAUGCAGUGUACCCGCGGCAAGACGGAAAGACCCCGUGAACCUUUACUAUAGCUUGACACUGAACAUUGAGCCUUGAUGUGUAGGAUAGGUGGGAGGCUUUGAAGUGUGGACGCCAGUCUGCAUGGAGCCGACCUUGAAAUACCACCCUUUAAUGUUUGAUGUUCUAACGUGGACCCGUGAUCCGGGUUGCGGACAGUGUCUGGUGGGUAGUUUGACUGGGGCGGUCUCCUCCUAAAGAGUAACGGAGGAGCACGAAGGUUGGCUAAUCCUGGUCGGACAUCAGGAGGUUAGUGCAAUGGCAUAAGCCAGCUUGACUGCGAGCGUGACGGCGCGAGCAGGUGCGAAAGCAGGUCAUAGUGAUCCGGUGGUUCUGAAUGGAAGGGCCAUCGCUCAACGGAUAAAAGGUACUCCGGGGAUAACAGGCUGAUACCGCCCAAGAGUUCAUAUCGACGGCGGUGUUUGGCACCUCGAUGUCGGCUCAUCACAUCCUGGGGCUGAAGUAGGUCCCAAGGGUAUGGCUGUUCGCCAUUUAAAGUGGUACGCGAGCUGGGUUUAGAACGUCGUGAGACAGUUCGGUCCCUAUCUGCCGUGGGCGCUGGAGAACUGAGGGGGGCUGCUCCUAGUACGAGAGGACCGGAGUGGACGCAUCACUGGUGUUCGGGUUGUCAUGCCAAUGGCACUGCCCGGUAGCUAAAUGCGGAAGAGAUAAGUGCUGAAAGCAUCUAAGCACGAAACUUGCCCCGAGAUGAGUUCUCCCUGACCCUUUAAGGGUCCUGAAGGAACGUUGAAGACGACGACGUUGAUAGGCCGGGUGUGUAAGCGCAGCGAUGCGUUGAGCUAACCGGUACUAAUGAACCGUGAGGCUUAACCUUACAACGCCGAAGGUGUUU